ACACUAUUUAUAAAAAUGCACAUGCCUUGAUACACAGAUACAAACAAUCGCAUAUAAACACAACUUGACACACAGAUACAUGCACUAUCACUUACACACAAUCAGAAACACACACACUGGCACACUGGCACAGACACACAAAUACACACACUCAGAAUUACACACUGGCACAUACAUACACUGACACAUAUACACACACACACAGAAACAGAUACACAGAGUCACAGAUAUACACACACAUUAAAAAAUUAAGCCACGCUCUGGUUUCCUACCUGCUGCUGGGGGAGUUGGG